rnacentral:tRNA from 1 species
AACUGGCUAGCUCAGUCAGUAGAGCAUGAGACUCUUAAUCUCAGAGUCAUGGGUUUGUGCCCCACGCUGCUGG